GAUGAACGCUAGCUACAGGCUUAACACAUGCAAGUCGAGGGGUAACGAGAGGAAAGCUUGCUUUCCUUGUCGACGACCGGCGCACGGGUGAGUAACGCGUAUCCAACCUGCCCCCAACUAAGGAAUAACCUUGCGAAAGUAAGACUAAUACCUUAUAAUUUCCUCAGAUGUCAUCUGACGAGGAAUAAAGAUUUAUCGGUUGUGGAUGGGGAUGCGUCUGAUUAGCUUGUUGGCGGGGUAACGGCCCACCAAGGCAACGAUCAGUAGGGGUUUUGCGAGGAAGUUCCCCCACAUUGGAACUGAGACACGGUCCAAACUCCUACGGGAGGCAGCAGUGAGGAAUAUUGGUCAAUGGGCGAAAGCCUGAACCAGCCAAGUAGCGUGCAGGAUGACGGCCCUAUGGGUUGUAAACUGCUUUUAUACAGGAAUAAAGUUAGCCACGUGUGGUUAUUUGUAGGUACUGUAUGAAUAAGGACCGGCUAAUUCCGUGCCAGCAGCCGCAGUAA
rnacentral:rRNA from 1 species